GCCUUUAGCAACACAAGUAUUAAAGGUCCUGCCUGCCCAGUGAAACUUCUUUCAACGGCCGCGGUAUUCUAACCGUGCAAAGGUAGCGUAAUCAUUUGUCUUCUAAAUAAAGACCAGUAUGAACGGCUAAAUGAGGACAGGCCUGUCUCCUACAACCCAUCAGUGAAACUGAUCUCCCAGUCCAAAAGCUGGGAUACACACAUAAGACGAGAAGACCCUGUGGAGCUUAAAACUCAAUACUAAUAAAACACCAAAUUUUAAUUAGUAGAAAUUUUAAGUUGGGGCGACUUCGGAACAAAACAAAACUUCCGAGCACAGAACCACCAAUUCCAACCAAGGCCAACAGGCCAAAGCAUAAAACUUGACCCAGUCUCACUGACCAACGAACCAAGUUACCCCAGGGAUAACAGCGCUAUCUUCUUCAAGAGUCCAUAUCGACAAGAAGGUUUACGACCUCGAUGUUGGAUCAGGACACCCAAAUGGUGCAGCCGCUAUUAAAGGUUCGUUUGUUCAACGAUUAACAGUC
rnacentral:rRNA from 1 species